UGUACAAAAGUGGCCAAAGCAGAGUCUAUAGUUUAAAAGAAACUGCUUUGCUAGAAAUUAGUCUUUUUAAUAAUAAACUCUGCUUACAAUACGCACUAUGGAGCACAAAAAUAAGAAUAUUGAUAUGUAUAGAUUUGUAAGAUGGUCAUUUUUGAUUUCGACAAAUGGCACGAUUUGGGGAAAAGGCAAAUUUAUCAGUUUCUAGAUUUUCUAAUUUCUAUAAUAAUCAGUGAUCGAUUUUUGUGUCCACGUGAUAUGAGGUCACCCAGGCCCCACCCUAUCUGGUAGGCGUGUCUGCUUCAACUAGACAAGAUGGCGAUAUCUAGCUUCUUGAGAUGUGUGGAUCUGAAACUCAUUUUGAGUUAUGGGACCAAGCAUCUUAGGAGAAGAAAUAAAGUAAAAAGAGAAUGAAAUCAUUACUGAGCCCUCAAGGAAUGGCCCAGAUAGAUCCAAUAAAAGAAAAGGGAUUUUGUAACUGGUGUCGGUAUACAAAUAUUUGUGACUCUUCUCACAUUAACAAUGAUGUUCUAAUAAUGAUGUUGAGACAGGAUUGUGGACAUUUAUCCUAGAUCAUUUAUGAUUAUGAUGUCAUUAAGAAUAUUGUUGAUUUUUAACCAGUUUUGAGUAUAUAUAUAUGUGUGGUAACUAUUAUAGAUAGACCAUAAUCUAUUAUGGUUUUUACGUGUAAUGUUAAGUGUUUCUGCUGUAGCAUUUACAACUAAAAGUUUUAAAAAAUGAAAUGUCUGAAAUA